UGGGGAAUAUUGCACAAUGGGGGAAACCCUGAUGCAGCAACGCCGCGUGCGGGAUGACGGUCUUCGGGUUGUAAACCGCUUUCAGCCAUGACGAAGCUUUUGUGACGGUAGUGGCAGAAGAAGCACCGGCUAACUACGUGCCAGCAGCCGCGGUGAUACGUAGGGUGCGAGCGUUGUCCGGAAUUAUUGGGCGUAAAGAGCUUGUAGGCGGUUUGUCGCGUCGAAAGUGUAAACUCUGUGCUUAACACCGAGCCUGCUUUCGAUACGGGCUGACUAGCGGGAGGUAGGGGAGAAUGGAAUUCCCGGUGGAGCGGUGGAAUGCGCAGAUAUCGGGAGGAGCACCAGUGGCGAAGGCGGUUCUCUGGGCCUUUCCUGACGCUGAGAAGCGAAAGCGUGGGUAGCAAACAGG
rnacentral:rRNA from 1 species